GAGUUUGAUCCUGGCUCAGGACGAACGCUGGCGGCGUGCUUAACACAUGCAAGUCGAACGAAACGCCAGGGCUUGCUUUGGUUGUUUAGUGGCGAACGGGUGAGUAACACGUGAGUAACCUGCCCCGGACUCUGGGAUAACUAUGGGAAACUGUAGCUAAUACUGGAUACGACCCUGGCCUGCAUGGGCAUAGGGUGGAAAGUUUUUCGGUCUGGGAUGGACUCGCGGCCUAUCAGCUUGUUGGUGGGGUAAUGGCCUACCAAGGCGACGACGGGUAGCCGGCCUGAGAGGGUGACCGGCCGCACUGGGACUGAAACACGGCCCAGACUCCUACGGGAGGCAGCAGUGGGGAAUAUUGCACAAUGGGCGAAAGCCUGAUGCAGCGACGCCGCGUGAGGGAUGACGGCCUUCGGGUUGUAAACCUCUUUCAGUUCCGAAGAAGCGAAAGUGACGGUAGGAGCAGAAGAAGCACCGGCUAACUACGUGCCAGCAGCCGCGGUAAUACGUAGGGUGCGAGCGUUGUCCGGAAUUAUUGGGCGUAAAGAGCUUGUAGGCGGUUUGUCGCGUCUGCUGUGAAAACUCAGGGCUUAACCCUGAGCCUGCAGUGGGUACGGGCAGACUAGAGUGUGGUAGGGGAGACUGGAAUUCCUGGUGUAGCGGUGGAAUGCGCAGAUAUCAGGAGGAACACCGAUGGCGAAGGCCAGUCUCUGGGCCACUACUGACGCUGA
rnacentral:rRNA from 1 species